rnacentral:rRNA from 1 species
AUUGAACGCUGGCGGCAUGCUUUGCACAUGCAAGUCGAACGGUAGGGUAGCAAUACCUGAGAGUGGCGAACGGGUGAGUAAUGCAUCGGAACGUGCCCAAGAGUGGGGGAUAGCCCGGCGAAAGCCGGAUUAAUACCGCAUACGAUCUAUGGAUGAAAGUGGGGGACCGCAAGGCCUCACGCUCCUGGAGCGGCCGAUGUCAGAUUAGGUAGUUGGUGGGGUAAAGGCUCACCAAGCCAACGAUCUGUAGCUGGUUUGAGAGAACGACCAGCCACACUGGGACUGAGACACGGCCCAGACUCCUACGGGAGGCAGCAGUGGGGAAUUUUGGACAAUGGGCGCAAGCCUGAUCCAGCAAUGCCGCGUGCAGGAUGAAGGCCUUCGGGUUGUAAACUGCUUUUGUACGGAGCGAAAAGGCUUCUUCUAAUACAGGAGGCUCAUGACGGUACCGUAAGAAUAAGCACCGGCUAACUACGUGCCAGCCGCCGCAGUAAAAC